ensembl:lncRNA
CACCUGGGAAACGUGGGGGCAACUUCGCUCCAGCUCAGAAGCUGGAAGUUGGCCAGGUCAUUGCGUAGGGUGGGAUGAGCGACCGGGCUGGUGUGGACAAAACGAUCAGGACCAAGGACAGCUCCCAUGGGUCUUGGCAUCAGGGUCUAAAGGCCAGGAAGGCGAGAGUCUGUACGAGCUGCCCAUUGCCCUGGUUUGUGGAGUAUCUCAUCAAAUGCUCACUGUAACCCGGUGAGAUGAAUGGAACCAUUCCUCAUUAUUUGGGUGAGAGAACUGCAGCUCAGAGAGGUGAAGUGAUUUGCCUGAAGUCACACAGCAAGAGGGUGUCACAGUGGGCCUGUUGUAUUCCCAAGACUGUAAGCGAUUGAGCACAGACUACCUAGCCCAACAUUCUGGACCUGUUGCUGAAAAAGAAGGUUUGGAUUCCAAAAUAUGAAAGAAGAACUCUAUCCCUGGAUGUAGCUUUGGUGGGAAUUUGACAAAGGUCAAUAGGCUCCAAUCAGAGUGGAGGAGCCAAGGACAGUCCUGUCCUGGAGGAAGAGCCCAGGGUCACCAUGAUCUACAUAGGAGUCUGGCUUGGGGUUGGCCAAAGGGGAAGAUCUGAGGAUGCCAAAGGUCUACAGGGGGCUGGACACCUCGAGCAGAGAGAGCAGAGCAAGCGCCAGGACGGGCGGCUCACCCCACGGCUUGGGCAGCUGAGAGGCUGCCUUGAGCAUCCGUCCACUGGGAACUCAAAAGGAAAAUAACAAAAACCAAAAUAGAGUGUAAGAUCCUCUCCCCUGGCAGCAUCUUGCCAGCUCAAGAUCGGAAAGAGUAAUCCAGUUUAUCUGCAUAUCUUUGCACGUGCAGAUUCGGCCAAAAUAUUGGUAAUAAUGGAGACCAGCAACAACAAUGCAUCCACCUGGCAAAUAAGGGAGCAUCUUGUGUGAGCUUAACCCUGAGCUAGGCGCUGGGGCUGGAACAGCAAAGAAGGUGGAGACGGAGCCUGCCCCGCUGCGGCUUUGUCCAGGGUAAUACUAGCGACACUUUGUUGAAAGCCUGCUAUGCACCGUUGAAACAAGAUGCACCGUCUACGCAUCCCCUUCUCCAAACCUCGCAGCCGCUCUGUGGAGUAGGGCCUUGUAGUAGACACGGCUGGUCCUGUUUACGGGGCCAGCGCACCCAGCCCCCAGCUACUUUGCCUGCUGACAGCUCCCAGCUUCCCCCCUUUCCGGAGCCAUCUUGCUCAGAAAUACCCGGAGAGUUAUGCACAGCCCGGGACGACCUGUCAUCAAUGACUCACUCUUGCAGGAACUCCCCUGGCUUCCCGUGGGGCAACACUUUGGUGCCAUUCAUGCUCCAGAGCUCCCCGUGGGAUGUCCAGCCCUGCCGUGGCCUCUCCACCCUCCUCUCUGUUCUUAAAAGCUUUUCUCUAGAGCUCUCUUGCAAUUAAUCUAUUGCACAAGGGUCCUCAUCAGGGCUGCAGGGAUGAGGCUAGGACAAGGCAAAAAGGCACUCAGGCGAGGUGCAAAAUUCAAGGCGGCGCUCACUCUUGGGGGCUGGCCAUGGAUGAGCCUCAGAAUGAGGGCUUCCUUAUGUUCUGUGCUCUGGGCACCGGACUGUCUUAUCUUGUCCUGGCCCCGGGCCCAGUCUUGGGUUCUCCUUCCAGGGAGCAAAUCUCAAGAGAGUGUCUUUAUUGUACCUAAUUCAUGCUUGGAGGCAUGAAGUUGAACAGACUAAGAAACACAUGCAAGAAACCACAGCUUGUAAGUGGUACAGCUCAGGCUGAAAUGAGAGUCUCUGUGUGCUUUUCCCAUGAUCUGAUUGCCUUUGGGACAAUACGCCCAGUUACCUUGGGAGCAGAGACUUAAAGCUGAGAUAAACUUUUAGAAAAGAAAUCAGAUCCUAGGAGAGACCCGCGGGUUCAUGUGGUACAGUGCCUGUCUCCAGGCACCUAAAUUAGUUGCCUUGACCAUUUUAGGGAGGAGACAAAUGAGACCGAGGUGGUCAUCAGUCCAGACGUAAGCCACUUAGAGGAAUUAAUUCACUCUUCCAAACGCCCCUGGCUGCUGAGGGAUAGAAUCAGGACUUAAACACUGGAAGUGUCUCUGGCUUUGACACCCUGAGAUGAUCUCGCAGGCUGGGUGGGCUCUGGGAGGUGGCAGGUGGUGGGUGGUGGAGGCAGACGGUGCCACCAGAGAUAAGUGGCUUUAUCUAAGAAGGGCAAACCUGGAGCUGACCUGGGCUCCAGAGGGAUGGGAGCCGCCCUCCAUAUCUUUAAACCUGGGUGUUUUGGGGUGGGGUCUGUUCUCUUCCUGGCACCCACCCAUGACCUCACAGCUGCCUCUCUGUUGAGUUCUGACACGUUCAAGUCUCAAGGAAAACCAGCUCUCCUUUGCUCUCCUUUCAAUCUUAUUAUUGUCCGUCCCGCAAACAGAGCAGCCGACUGCGUGUUAUAACAUCUGCUUAAGACAUCCCUCUCUCUUCUAGUUUAGUUUCUGAGCUGGAGGCCCGGAUAAGCCCGCCAUCUUGGAUUUAUGAAAAUUGAAAUGCAGGAAGGAGGGAAUUGAAAUGUGGCGUGGAGGAGCUGUGGCCUGGGAGAGAGGAUGCCCGGGUGUGUGUGAGUCAGUCAUGUCCCAGCUCAGACUGCAGUUUCCUCCUCUGUAAAGUGGUGGGAGGAGAGCUCUCACCAUCUCCGUUCCCUCUCUCCAUCCUCCUAGAUGACAGCACUUCCCCAAACUACGCUCUUCCAGACGUGCAAGGGAUGUGCACUACUGGUGCCCACGAGCCUAGAGGGGCAGCUUCGGGAAGACGAGCUUCUAGGAAUUCGGAAAGGAAACAGAUAUUUAUCACGCAUCAUCAUGUAUUCCGCUCUCUGGGGAUACGUCAGUGUUCCCGUGAGGGGUUCUCUGAAGAAUUUCUCUGUGCCCUUCUUCUCCAUUCUCUCUUCCUUUCAGUCCGAUGACCCAUUGCUUCAGUCCCCUGUGUUCUGGGAGCUGUUUCCUUGGACACUUAUUGUCUGGAUCUAAAUGGCUCUUUUACGGCAUCAUCCAUGGCCCUAUGCUGAACUCAGGCAAGAGAAGAGCUUCAACAGUACCCUAUUCUCUAGUCUUGGUUCUGAACCACUCACUCCAUCGUGUUCCUUACAUGGCACUAGACUGUCAUCUCCUUCCUUCGGGAUUCCUGCUCCAUCAUUGCUGCCUUUGAUGCUUCCUGCAACCUGACUCUGCACAGAUUCUCACUAAAGAGGAGGUGCUGCCCUCUAUGAGGAUCUAUGUGUCCCUAGUGUUGUCAGCUGGUCUGAAGUCCAGGAGCCACAGCCCUAAUCUUUUCCCUCCCCUGGCGGCUCAGCUUCUACAGAACAAGGGCCUGAGUCUUUCAGCCACACAACAGCUAGUCUCGGCGCAUCUUUCCCACUUCAACGCCAUUGUCUAGGCUGUUCUCGCUCAUCCCACGCGGGAGGGCAUGAGUCCUAAUCAAAGGUCAACAGCUAGUAAGAACUCCUUCUGAGUUUUGACGACAGGAGAUGCAAUCAGAAGUCUAGAGAGCUGUGGAUUCCAGAAGGGAGAAGGCGAGAGAAGAUUGUCAUUCUCCACUUUUAUUUUCCUAUAAUCCACAUGGAGAAUAUAAGGCUUGCUGGGUGAUGUUCGGGAAGCCGGCUCUCCUUCCUGAGCCUCAGCAUUCCCCAUCUGUUCAAAUGGGUGGGCUGGAUGGGCUCAGAGCCAAUGAUUCUCGGAGACGAAGCAUUACGUGCCGCCUGCUGUGUCUUGCUCGGGUCUCACGGGGCAGACGGGUUUUGAAAGCAUUCACCAGUUAAUGCAUCACUUCUUCAUUAAAGGUUCUUUCUGGACAUCCUCUUAGCUCCUACUUUUCCAGGCUUUCCACCCCCAACCCCCACUAGUGCUGACAAAUUGCUGCUUGAAGUUCAUGGUCCCGGGGGCCUCCUUAAAAUGUCCCGGAAUGCAGGCAUAGAGGGUGUGGAGGGAGCUUGGUGGGGGGGUGUUGGCCGGAAGCCACAUGCUGCAGCAGUAGGAGGCACGGGCAGGGAGUAGGGUGCAGACACCCUGAGGUUGCUCAGGCAGCGAGGCGGUCAGCGGCGUCCUGACUUUGAAAGCAAUCCAAAACACGGGCUGCGUUCCAGUCUCCAGUGAUGUCACAGCUAAUCAUUAGCCUGGUAAUUACAUUGAAAGGCUUCUGCGAUCUUAUCCUCAGCAGGGUCAUUAAUGCAAGGCAACCACACCAGUAAAUGUCUCAUUAGUCUUAUUUUAGACUUAUGUAUUUUUCAGGACUACAGAAUUUUAAUAGUCUGCCCUCCCCCCGGCUCCCCCUUCUGCGACAUUAAUAUCUAUUCCACAUGCCAGAUCCUUUCAACUCUUCCCCCUUCUUGUUUUCCCUGCUCACAGCCCCCCUGAGGAGGGCCCGGCCAGGGAGGGAGGUUGGAGUGGGGGGUCGUUAGGGGCUGGUCUCGGCCUCCCUCACCCGCCCCAGCUCUGUUUCUGGCCCCAGUCUCUUUUCUGUGAUGACAACCUUUUCCUGGAUUUUCUCUAUCUUCCUCAGGAAGCUUCAUUCUUUUAUUUUAACCCUCUUUAAACCUUUUUCCACAUUAUUAUAGAAAUGUGUGCUUAUUACAAAGAUGGGGAGAAAAUAUUACCAUUGAUCUCAGAACUCAGACAAAACGACCACCUUCCCACCUCUUGCUCAGUGCUCGCCACCCCACCCCUCCGGCAAUGUCCGCUUUUUCUUUGUCUCUGGAAUGGACUGAACUGUCCCCUCUCAAGGCCUGUGAAGACUGCUGUUUCCUCGGCCUAGAGUGUUUUCCUCCAUUCUCUGACCAUGAAUAAAUCCUACUCUCUCUCCAGAGUAUAGCUUAAAUGCCACUUCCUCCUGGAACCCUCCUGUCCUGCCCUUCUCCCCAUUCAAGUUUAGGGUUGUGCCUCUGCCAUUUAGAUGCCAUUGCCGGUGUCCUACAUCUAACGUGUCACAAUCGCCAUUAGCUGUCUACAGGUGAAAUUAAUUGCUUGAUUGCAGGUUCUCUGACUAGGCAGAUCACUCCAGGUGGGCGGGGAACACCUCUAAUGUGGUUCUUCAAUCCUGUAGUCCCAGUGCUCACCUCAGGGAUAGUAGAUACAAAGAGACAUCACCAGAGCACUGCUGGAAUCCUAAACCUUGGAACGCCCAGGACAGGAGCUGAAACAUCUUUUCCCAUCACGAGCUCACAGGUUGGGGAGGUCUUUCUCCAAAGCACGUCUGCCAGCAACCUGUGCCAUCAUUUGCCCUUCACUAUUCUGGUCUCACCCCGGAUCUUUUCUCUGCACAGUGUGGUGAAAAACCCAGGGCUUUGGAGUCAGGGAGGCCCGGGCUGGGGCCAUCACUCUGUCCCUUAGGAAAGUGGUGAGGGCUCAACAUGAGUUAGUCAGCAUUUUUUUUCUGGACAGUGGCAAGGGAAAUGCCAAAAGAUAACUUGGAAGUCACAGAAUCGAGUGAUAGUGUGAAGAAAGCUUCAGAAAGGAGGUCUCCUUCCUCUUAGUGCUGCUCCUUCUGCCCUGAGCCACGUUGCCUCAGGUCUCCAUCCUAAAUGCUUACUGAAUUCACAAAUAAAGGCGAUUCUCAGGGGUCUACUCACCCAGAAUCUUCUCUUCCUGGCCACUGAGUCUGGAGGCUCUGCUAUCCAGGCUAUCGCUCUGGUUCAUAGACAUGUGUCUUGAAGUCUGGGGAUCUUCCCACUGCUGCAUGUGCACCAUGGGGCACGAUCCGUGUUGGUCUUUCUUGCUGCUGGAUAUGCAGAGACUAGCACCGUGCCUGACGCACACAAAAGGAGGGGCUUAAUAAA